rnacentral:lncRNA from 1 species
UGGAAGCUAUUUCAAUAGCAUGCAUAGCCCCAAUGAGCUCUGCAUGGAAAACAGUAGAUAUAUUUAAGUUUUCAGUGAAGCAGCGCACAACAUCAGCAAUGUUAUCUCUGAAAAUACCACCACACACUGCUGGUCCAGGGCACUCCUUUGCGGUACCAUCAGUGUUGCAUUUAAUACAGGAAACUAUGGGAGGAUUCCAUAUAACUUCUUUGAUCCGAGGAGUAUUGGGAGCGUGAAUUAAAACAGAACCAGCCUUGAGAAUCAUAAAUUCAUGCAUAACUGAGAAACAAGUCCUUGCAGAGUGACAGGUCGCUGCAGAGUGGUUGCUAGCAAGAAGUAUUGGAAAUCACCAAAAGGGAGGCAUAUUUCCAAGGAUAGAAGCAAUAAUAACAGUUAAGAAUAGCAGCAAUAAUAACAGUUUUGCAUUGAGGAGACCAAAAUCUAUUACAGAUGUUCAAAACAG